rnacentral:rRNA from 1 species
AGGACGAACGCUGGCGGCGUGCUUAACACAUGCAAGUCGAACGGUGAAGCCCCUUCGGGGGUGGAUCAGUGGCGAACGGGUGAGUAACGCGUGAGCAACCUGCCCUUGACUCUGGGAUAACUCCGGGAAACCGGAGCUAAUACCGGAUACGACACGCGAAGGCAUCUUCUGCGUGUGGAAAGAUUUAUCGGUCAAGGAUGGGGCUCGCGGCCUAUCAGCUUGUUGGUGGGGUAAUGGCCUACCAAGGCGACGACGGGUA